rnacentral:lncRNA from 1 species
AAGAUUUAGAAAAUUGGAAACCAAGGGGAGCUAUGAAGAAUAUCAUAUGAAUAUGAGACUCAUGCUAUAGCAGUAUUUUUGUAUCUCACUUGUUGUAUGCUUAGAUGGAUUUUUCAUGCCACAAACAAAAGGAAUAUACUGAAAACCUUGGAAUCCUACCACAUUUGGAAAAAGGAUCAUAUAAUUCAAGAAAUAAUACAAAGGUGUGCUGCUUGUCAGGAAAAUUAUUUACAGAAAACACCUAAGUCUUCUGGACAAGAGGAACAAAUGAACUACACUCUAAAGAAUUCUUUGACUAAAUAAUUUCAAGAAAUCAGCUUACAGUGGCCCAGAUCUUCUCCUUGGGAUUUAUUAAAAAUAAGGUCAACUUCCUCUGGCAGGUAUGAUAUUUCUUUCUUCCUUUAACUUAUUUUUGGAAGAUUUAUAAACAGAGUUCCUUAUCUGAUAUAAUGGAAAAAAACUCAC